AAUAUUGGACAAUGGGCGAAAGCCUGAUCCAGCCACGCCGCGUGUGUGAGGAAGGUCUUCGGAUUGUAAAGCACUCUAUGUUGGGUGGAAGGGUUGUAGGUUAAUACCCUGAAGUUUUGACGUUACCAACAGAACAAGCACCGGCUUACUCUGUGCCAGCAGACGCGGUAAUACAGAGGGUGCAAGCGUUAAUCGGAAUUCAUGGGCGUAAAGCGCGGGUAGGUGGUUCGGUAAGAUGGGUGUGAAAUCCCCGGGCUUAACCUGGGAACUGCUUUCAUAACUGCUGAGCUAGAGUACGGUAGAGGGUAGUAGAAUUUCCUGUGUAGCGGUGAAAUGCGUAGAUAUAGAAAGGAACACCAGUAGCGAAGGCGACCACCUGGGCUAAUACUGACACUGAGGUGCGAAAGCGUGGGGAGCAAAC
rnacentral:rRNA from 1 species